rnacentral:lncRNA from 1 species
UGGAAGAUAAGUAGAAAUACAACAAUAAUUCUAUUAAAUCUAAUAAAGUCCUAAAUAAAUUUCAAAUAAUCCUUAAUAACCUCAAUCAAACCUUAAUCAAUGAAAAUUAAAUUUAAAAGAAGUUGCAAAAAAAAUACAAAGACGUCAUAAUUUAACUUCAAAAAAAUAUAAUAUUUUUUUUAAAUAUAUAUAUAUAAUCUUAAAGAAAUUCUACA